rnacentral:rRNA from 1 species
UACAGAGGUGGCAAGCGUUGUUCGGAAUUACUGGGCGUAAAGGGCGCGUAGGCGGCCAUCUAAGUCAGACGUGAAAUCCCCCGGCUUAACCGGGGAACUGCGUCUGAUACUGGAUGGCUUGAGUUUGGGAGAGGGACGCGGAAUUCCAGGUGUAGCGGUGAAAUGCGUAGAUAUCUGGAGGAACACCGGUGGCGAAGGCGGCGUCCUGGACCAAUACUGACACUGAUGAGCGAAAGCCAGGGGAGCAAACGGG